UACGUAGGGCGCAAGCGUUGUCCGGAAUUAUUGGGCGUAAAGAGCUCGUAGGCGGCUUGUCCCGUCGGGUGUGAAAGCCCGGGGCUUAACCCCGGGUCUGCAUUCGAUACGGGCUAGCUAGAGUGUGGUAGGGGAGAUCGGAAUUCCUGGUGUAGCGGUGAAAUGCGCAGAUAUCAGGAGGAACACCGGUGGCGAAGGCGGAUCUCUGGGCCAUUACUGACGCUGAGGAGCGAAAGCGUGGGGAGCGAACAGG
rnacentral:rRNA from 1 species